GACGAACGCUGGCGGCGUGCUUAACACAUGCAAGUCGAACGGUAAGACUCCAGCUUGCUGGGGUACACGAGUGGCGAACGGGUGAGUAACACGUGGGUGACCUGCCCUGCACUUCGGGAUAAGCCUGGGAAACUGGGUCUAAUACCGGAUAGGACCGCACCGUGAGGGUGUGGUGGAAAGUUUUUUCGGUGUGGGAUGGGCCCGCGGCCUAUCAGCUUGUUGGUGGGGUAAUGGCCUACCAAGGCGGCGACGGGUAGCCGGCCUGAGAGGGUGGACGGCCACAUUGGGACUGAGACACGGCCCAGACUCCUACGGGAGGCAGCAGUGGGGAAUAUUGCACAAUGGGCGGAAGCCUGAUGCAGCGACGCCGCGUGGGGGAUGACGGCCUUCGGGUUGUAAACUCCUUUCACCAUCGACGAAGGGUUUCUGACGGUAGAUGGAGAAGAAGCACCGGCUAACUACGUGCCAGCAGCCGCGGUAAUACGUAGGGUGCGAGCGUUGUCCGGAAUUACUGGGCGUAAAGAGCUCGUAGGUGGUUUGUCGCGUCGUCUGUGAAAUUCCGGGGCUUAACUCCGGGCGUGCAGGCGAUACGGGCAUAACUUGAGUACUGUAGGGGAGACUGGAAUUCCUGGUGUAGCGGUGAAAUGCGCAGAUAUCAGGAGGAACACCGGUGGCGAAGGCGGGUCUCUGGGCAGUAACUGACGCUGAGGAGCGAAAGCAUGGGGAGCGAACAGGAUUAGAUACCCUGGUAGUCCAUGCCGUAAACGGUGGGCGCUAGGUGUGGGUUUCCUUCCACGGGAUCCGUGCCGUAGCUAACGCAUUAAGCGCCCCGCCUGGGGAGUACGGCCGCAAGGCUAAAACUCAAAGGAAUUGACGGGGGCCCGCACAAGCGGCGGAGCAUGUGGAUUAAUUCGAUGCAACGCGAAGAACCUUACCUGGGCUUGACAUAUACAGGAUCGCGCCAGAGAUGGUGUUUCCCUUGUGGCUUGUAUACAGGUGGUGCAUGGUUGUCGUCAGCUCGUGUCGUGAGAUGUUGGGUUAAGUCCCGCAACGAGCGCAACCCUUGUCUUAUGUUGCCAGCACGUUGUGGUGGGGACUCGUAAGAAACUGCCGGGGUUAACUCGGAGGAAGGUGGGGAUGACGUCAAAUCAUCAUGCCCCUUAUGUCCAGGGCUUCACACAUGCUACAAUGGUCGGUACAGUGGGUUGCCAGUCCGUGAGGGCGAGCUAAUCCCGCAAAGCCGGUCUCAGUUCGGAUCGGGGUCUGCAACUCGACCCCGUGAAGUCGGAGUCGCUAGUAAUCGCAGAUCAGCAACGCUGCGGUGAAUACGUUCCCGGGCCU
rnacentral:rRNA from 1 species